UUCCAUGAGUAUUUUAUAAUAAUAUCUAUAACUUCUAUCAGUAUUCACUCGCCAGAUCUGAGAUCUAUAACUUCUAUGAGUAUCAGAUCUGAGAUACAAGAUGUUCACUCGCCAGAUCUGAGAUCGAUUCCUCACUCCUUAGUCCUCACUCCUCAGCAUCUUGUCUCUCUCGACUCUCGACUGUCGAUCUCCGCGCCUCUUAACUCUCAAUCUCCGCGCCUCUCGUCGUCGCCGACUGUCUGUCUCUUCGUGCCUCUCGUCGUCGCCGAUUGAGCCGGAAAUGAGGUAGGCGAGGCGGGGUGGAAGAGGAAGAGAGGAGAUGGGUAGUGGGUGGAGCUUGGAUUCGACGAAGACGUCGCCGACUGUCUGUCUCUUCGUGCCUCUCGUCGUCGCCGAUUGAGCCGGAAAUGAGGUAGGCGAGGUGGGGUGGAAGAGGAAGAGAGGAGAUGGAUAGUGGGUGGAGCUUGGAUUCGACAAAGACGGAGGCGGAAGAGCCGUCGGUGGUGGCGUAACGGUGGAGGGGGGGGGAUGGGAGUUCUGUUCUGCAACAGUAUAACCAAAAAGAUGAAGACUGCUCACUCCAAUAUUAAUGAAGGUCCAAUCAGCCCAGCAAAAGCAUUUUACACCAUAAACACCUAUAGAGGCGCAUCCCUUUGAUUCAAUAGCUUCCGCUUUGCAUUAUGUAAGAUCACUUAGUAAUAUGUUCUAUGCAAUUUAGUGCAGUUAAACACGGAGUGGGACAACUGUUAUGCAAUUUGUACUUUAUUUGUAAAUAUUCUGCUGCAUUUGUUGAAUUCAGUUAGUUGGAGAGUUAAUGAUUUUUCUUGUUAGGUGUGUUUGGUUUAGCCGAAUUUGAGCACAGGUUCGGUUAUUACCCGAAUAUUCGAAUUUACAAUUCGGUAAUUCGGUUUUCGGUUAUUCGGUUAGUUUCAUAUUUCGGGUAGCAUUUCGGAUAGUAGAAUUAGCUAUAAUUCGGUAUUCGGUUAUAACCGAAUAGUCAUUUCGGUUCGGUUAUAACCGAAUGCUCACUCUAGUCUGCAACUAAUGAAUAACAUAAAAGUGCAAAUCUUUUAAAGAGUGAAAUUCUAUAGAGAGAACACAUAAAAGUAAAAAUAGGAAACUGAUAUUUUUAUUUAUGAUUGUGAUCAUAAAGAAAAAGAAAAAGAAAAUUUGUAUCCCCCAAGGAAAUUAAAGCUGCUGGCGCCGGACAAGGCCAACUACUAGUUUAGAAAACACAGGAACUGUUUAAUUAAUGGACUAGGAUGAUCAUAAUAAUAUACGGAGUAAUAUUAAAAUUAAGAUUUGAGAACUUCUCUGGCUUUAGCUUAGAAAAAGCAACAUUCUUCUAAGCUAAUUAAUCAAGGUUUCACCUUAACUAGUCCUUUGGCAAAGAUAUUAGUGAAAGCUUCGACCAAAUUCUUAGGGAAGCAAACUCCAAUUUCCACAUCUCCUUCCGAAUUAAGGGAACAUUUCUGGGAAACAACUUCAAGCUUUUUUGGUGUCCCCCACCCAAAAUCUGUACUAUAAUAGUCAAACUUCGGUGAUCCAGCAAUCAUAAAAGCCUUCUGCGUCGUGAUCGUUUCAAAGCCGGCGUACCACAACUCUGCGUCUUUCAAGACUCCUCCCUCCUCAUUAUUUAC
rnacentral:lncRNA from 1 species